UAGACCGAUAGCGAACAAGUAGAGUGAUCGAAAGAUGAAAAGCACUUUGAAAAGAGAGUUAAACAGCACGUGAAAUUGUUGAAAGGGAAGCGCUUGCGACCAGACUCGCCCACGGGGUUCAGCCGGCAUUCGUGCCGGUGUACUUCCCCGCGGGCGGGCCAGCGUCGGUUUGGGCGGCCGGUCAAAGGCCCUCGGAAUGUAACGCCCCCCGGGGCGUCUUAUAGCCGAGGGUGCCAUGCGGCCAGCCCGGACCGAGGAACGCGCUUCGGCUCGGACGCUGGCAUAAUGGUCGUAAGCGACCCGUCUUGAAACACGGACCAAGA
rnacentral:rRNA from 1 species